rnacentral:rRNA from 1 species
AACGUAGGUGGCAAGCGUUAUCCGGAUUUACUGGGCGUAAAGCGUGUGCAGGCGGGGGUACAAGUGGUGUAUGAAAUUUCCCAGCUUAACUGGGAAGGGUUAUGCCAGACUGUACUUCUGGAGUGCGAGAGAGGGGCGUGGAAUUCCGGGUGUAGUGGUGAAAUGCGUAGAGAUCGGCAGGAACACCCAGGGGGAAACCAGUCGACUGGGCAUCUACUGACGCUGAGGUGCGAGAGCGUGGGGAGCGAACCGG